AAAGGCAGGCCAACCAAGUGAAACUACUUGUACACAGGUAGAAGAAAGGAACUGAAACUUGGAAACAAAGCCAGGACGUGUCAGUUGGGGAGACCCUAGGACUGUGUCAAUCCAUUCUCUAAAAAUUUCCACAACUCAGUUUGGAAUCGACAACGAAAAAUUCUUUUGACUUUCUUAAAUAAUUCUAACAACAUCUGACAUUUAUCUGGAGCUCUGUAUAUGAACAAAGGUAUUCUGAAGACUUCUCCCUUCAUUUUACCUGGCACUGCGUACAAUGGAUUUUAAGAAACGAGAGAACCAAAGCCCCGAGGAGGUAAACAAUUUGCCUAAGGUCACAAAGGCUCUGCUCUGAAGAAGCUCAAAAAGCAAGUUAAUAUAAACCUAUUCAGAACAAAUGUGCAGAAAGGAGCCCUGUCGGACAGAGGUCGAGCUAUGACCUUCCCAACUUUUUCCACAGAAUGUACAAUCCAUCACGUACAAGAGCACAGUGAAGAUGUGAGGGGUUGGCCGGAAUGGAGAUAACCUGAGGUGACCUUACAGGCAAUGUACUGAAGACGACCAAAACUCCUUCCAUCUGCAACUCUACGUGAACGCACAGAGGAAGCCAUCCCACCAACCUGCUUACAUAUUACUGUUGCUGUUAAGAAACAAGUGUUUACUAUGUUCAAGCCAUUAUAAAGUAUUCUGAUAUGUUUUGGGGGGUUUUGGUUUUUGUUUUUGCAGUAACCUAGCCUACCCAAUAAAAACCCACAGGGCUAGACACAAUGCCUAAAGUAUCUCCCUGAUAAAUGGCCCUAAAUGAUGGCUUACACCUUCACCUUUUGAGUGGUGCAAUGACUAACAGGCAAUAAAAAACAACAGCU